CCAGACUCCUACGGGAGGCAGUAGUGGGGAAUAUUGCACAAUGGGGGAAACCCUGAUGCAGCGACGCCGCGUGAGCGAUGAAGUAUUUCGGUAUGUAAAGCUCUAUCAGCAGGGAAGAAAAUGACGGUACCUGACUAAGAAGCCCCGGCUAACUACGUGCCAGCAGCCGCGGUAAUACGUAGGGGGCAAGCGUUAUCCGGAUUUACUGGGUGUAAAGGGAGCGUAGACGGCAAUGCAAGCCAGAUGUGAAAGCCCGGGGCUCAACCCCGGGACUGCAUUUGGAACUGUGUAGCUGGAGUGCCGGAGAGGCAGGCGGAAUUCCUAGUGUAGCGGUGAAAUGCGUAGAUAUUAGGAGGAACACCAGUGGCGAAGGCGGCCUGCUGGACGAUGACUGACGUUGAGGCUCGAAAGCGUGGGGAGCAAACAGGAUUAGAUACCCGCGUACU
rnacentral:rRNA from 1 species